rnacentral:rRNA from 1 species
GACGAACGCUGGUGGCGUGCUUAACACAUGCAAGUCGAACGGAAAGGCCCUGCUUUUGUGGGGUGCUCGAGUGGCGAACGGGUGAGUAACACGUGAGUAACCUGCCCUUGACUUUGGGAUAACUUCAGGAAACUGGGGCUAAUACCGGAUAGGAGCUCCUGCUGCAUGGUGGGGGUUGGAAAGUUUCGGCGGUUGGGGAUGGACUCGCGGCUUAUCAGCUUGUUGGUGGGGUAGUGGCUUACCAAGGCUUUGACGGGUAGCCGGCCUGAGAGGGUGACCGGCCACAGUGGGACUGAGAUACGGCCCAGACUCCUACGGGAGGCAGCAGUGGGGAAUAUUGCACAAUGGGCGGAAGCCUGAUGCAGCAACGCCGCGUGCGGGAUGACGGCCUUCGGGUUGUAAACCGCUUUCGCCUGUGACGAAGCGUGAGUGACGGUAAUGGGUAAAGAAGCACCGGCUAACUACGUG